ACGGAAGGCAGCAGUGAGGAAUAUUGGUCAAUGGGCGAGAGCCUGAACCAGCCAAGUCGCGUGAAGGAUGAAGGUUCUAUGGAUUGUAAACUUCUUUUGUUCGAGGGUAAAGUGGGGGAUGCGUCCCUUAUUGCAAGUAUCGAACGAAUAAGCAUCGGCUAACUCCGUGCCAGCAGCCGCGGUAAUACGGAGGAUGCGAGCGUUAUCCGGAUUUAUUGGGUUUAAAGGGUGCGUAGGCGGGAUGUUAAGUCAGCGGUGAAAGCGUGUAGCUCAACUAUACCAAGCCGUUGAAACUGGCGUUCUUGAGUGUAAACGAGGUAGGCGGAAUGUGACGUGUAGCGGUGAAAUGCUUAGAUAUGUCACAGAACCCCGAUUGCGAAGGCAGCUUACCAGCAUACAACUGACGCUGAGGCACGAAAGUGCGGGGAUCAAACAGGAUUAGAUACCCUGGUA
rnacentral:rRNA from 1 species